rnacentral:rRNA from 1 species
UACAGAGACUGCAAGCGUUAUUCGGAUUCACUGGGCGUAAAGGGUGCGCAGGCGGCCAAGUGUGUUAGGCGUGAAAGCCCGGGGCUUAACCUCGGGAUUGCACCUAAAACUACUUGGCUAGAGCAUUGGAGAGGGUAGCGGAAUUCACGGUGUAGCAGUGAAAUGCGUAGAUAUCGUGAGGAACACCAGAGGCGAAGGCGGCUACCUGGACAAUUGCUGACGCUCAGGCACGAAAGCGUGGGGAGCAAACAGG